rnacentral:rRNA from 1 species
GAAUUUAAUAUUAUUAUGUGAAUAUUUAUAAAAAUUUAUAUAAAAAAUAUUUUAUUGGGAGGAUAAUUAAAUUUAAAUAACUUUAAUAUGAGAAUAACAUGGAUUAUUGAUAAUUUAAUGAAUAAGUAAAAUUUAAUAGAGAAUUAAUUACCUUAGGGAUAACAGCAUAAUAUUUUUUAGUAGUUCGUAUAUAAAAAAAUGUUUAU